rnacentral:tRNA from 1 species
GUCAGGAUGGCUGAGUGGUCUGAGGCGGCAGAAUCAAGUUUUGGUCCUCGUUAAAGGGCAUGGGUUCAAAUCCCAAUUCUUACA